UGACCUCGGAUCAGGUAGGGAUACCCGCUGAACUUAAGCAUAUCAAUAAGCCGGAGGAA
rnacentral:rRNA from 6 species